rnacentral:rRNA from 1 species
CCUACGGGUGGCAGCAGUGAGGAAUAUUGGUCAAUGGGCGCGAGCCUGAACCAGCCAAGUCGCGUGAGGGAUGACGGCCCUACGGGUUGUAAACCUCUUUUGCAGGGGAGUAACAGGCGCCACGUGUGGCGUUCUUCAGGUACCCCACGAAUAAGGACCGGCUAAUUCCGUGCCAGCAGCCGCGGUAAUACGGAGGGCCCGAGCGUUAUCCGGAUUGAUUGGGUUUAAAGGGAUCGUAGGCGGGAGUUAAAGUCAGCGGUAAAAUUGCGGGGCUAAACCGCGUCCCGCCGUUGAAACUGGGGGUCGUGAGUGGACGAGAGGUAUGCGGAAUGCGUGGUGUAGCGGUGAAAUGCAUAGAUAUCACGAAGAACUCCGAUUGCGAAGGCAGCAUGCCGGCGUGCGACUGACGCUGAGGCACGAAGGUGUGGGGAUCGAACAGGAUUAGAUACCCGUGUAGUC